AGGAUUAACGCUGGCGGCGUGCCUAACACAUGCAAGUCGAACGAGGUAGCAAUACCUAGUGGCAGACGGGUGAGUAACGCGUGGUCAACCUACCGUUGAGUGGGGGAUAACUAGCCGAAAGGUUAGCUAAUACCGCAUACGAGUUUCGGGGGCAUCCCUGGAUCUUAAAAGGAGCAAUCCGCUCGAUGACGGGACCGCGUCCCAUUAGCUAGAUGGUGGGGUAACGGCCUACCAUGGCACCGAUGGGUAGCUGGUUUGAGAGAGCGACCAGCCACACUGGGACUGAGAAACGGCCCAGACUCCUACGGGAGGCAGCAGUGAGGAAUUUUCCGCAAUGGGCGAAAGCCUGACGGAGCGACGCCGCGUGUGGGAAGAAGGCCUUCGGGUCGUAAACCACUGUCGAAGGGGACGAUAAUGACGGUACCCUUGGAGGAAGCCCGGCUAACUACGUGCCAGCAGCCGC
rnacentral:rRNA from 1 species